UCAGACCAUGCAGAAACACGAUGUUCAUAGAUACAUUUAUAUUUAGAACUAACCCACACUUCUUUACGGUGCGUGGGCGCUCAGAAACGAGUGUAAAUAUACAGUAUAUGCGUGCAUUAUUUCGGAAAUACUUACAAGUAUUCUGUAUCCGAAAUGGGAGGUGCUUACAGGCCUAAUGCGCAUAAUGAAUUGCCUAGUGGUCUCCUCGCUGUGAGUGUACUACUGUUUUUUCCAACAGGCCUGGGAUUUUAUGGCACAGUUGGUAGGUAGCGCGGAGUCACUGGGCUGCAUGUGAGAAUACUACUGUUUCUUCACAGCUAGCUUACAACGCAUGUGCCACUGUUUCUCAGUGUUGUAGUGGUACCCGGAGAAACGGGUAUAACCUACUAUAUUUUGCCAACAACUUACCAAACGGCCUUCCUAGCGAAGUAAAGACGCCCUGAGUGAAAAAUAGUUUUCCUAAUAGUUUUUGCAGGGUUUCACUGUCAAAAUCUAACUUUUUUUUAAUAUAGCACAACAAAAAGUGCGCACCUAGCAAGCGUAGGCUAACUGUGUUUAUGUGCUGUACAACAAUGUAGGCCUACAGUGUACCUUUGAUUUUGCUAAACAAAUGCCCUCCCGAUUGAUACAAAUCAUCAUGACGUAAUUCUACCAGGUCAUCAGGCUGCUGAUUAUCCCGCACACCUGUCACCAUCAUCUCAUGCACCUGCACCUCAUGACACUCACCUGGAAUCCAUCACCACCUUGAUUAUCUUCCCUGUGCCUGUCACUCCCCUUGGUUCUUUCCUCAGGUAUUAUUGACUCAGUUUCAUGUCGUUGUUUGUGUUUCGUGUUCAUUGUGUCUUUAUUUCUUAAAACACUCACUCCCUGAACUUGUUCCCAACUCUCAGCGCACUUGUUACAGUUUCUAUGGAUUUUAUACCAAUGUUCUGUGUAAUAGCCUCAAAUAUACACUGCUCAAAAAAAUAAAGGGAACACUAAAAUAACACAUCCUAGAUCUGAAUGAACAAAGGCGGAGGUAACAGUCCUGUUGCUGGGUUGUUGCCCUCCUACGGCCUCCUCCACAUCUCCUGAUGUACUGGCCUGUCUCCUGGUAGCGCCUCCAUGCUCUGGACACUACGCUGACAGACACAGCAAACCUUCUUGCCACAGCUCGCAUUGAUGUUCCAUCCUGAAUGAGCUGCACUACCUGAGCCACUUGUGUGGGUUGUAGACUCCGUCUCAUGCUACCACUAGAGUGAAAGCACCGCCAGCAUUCAAAAGUGACAGCCAGGAAGCAUAGGAACUGAGAAGUGGUCUGUGGUCACCACCUGCAGAACCACUCCUUUAUUGGGGGUGUCUUGCUAAUUGGCUAUAAUUUCCACCUGUUGUCUAUUCCAUUUGCACAACAGCAUGUGAAAUUUAUCAGUGUUGCUUCCUAAGUGGACAGUUUGAUUUCACAGAAGAGUGAUUGACUUGGAGUUACAUUGUGUUGUUUAAUUAAGUGUUCCCUUUAUUUUUUUGAGCAGUGUAUGUAAACAGACCAUAAAUGUCUUAGAUGUUAUUUUCUUGGAAAGCUGUGAGUGCUAUUAUAUAAUACAAUAUCAGUACUUGUGUUUAAAACUUGUCUAAGUCCUAUCAUCAACUGAUUUGAGCCAGUCUAUGGCUGUGUGUAGACUGCAUUGUUUGAAUUGAGUGUUAGCACAGUGGCAGUUAAUUUGAAAAAUUACUGUAAUCAUUCCUCUAAAACUGUCUGGCUAGCUAACAUAUAUACAGUGCGGAUACAUUUGUCACAUUUAUUGUUUUACACAUGAUCUUAUCACAGCACUGACGAACCAUGGUUGGCCAACUCCCUUACCAACAUGGCUGACCUUUGGACCAUCAUGAGAAGGUUCAUGUCCAUUCUAGUAUUCUAAUUCCUAUGUUGAAUAACCCCUUUUGUUUCCAGGUAGAAGAACCUGUCUGGUUCCAGGUAGAACCCUUUUGGGUUCCAUGUCCAAUCCUUUUCAAAGAGGGUUCGACCUGGAAGGGCUUCCCCUAUGGGGACAGCCGCAAAACCUUUUUGGAACCCUUUUUUCGAGUAGUGUAGAUAUCAUAAAUUGAAACGUCCUUCCUACUUACCCGAUCGACUACCAAUGUUGUUCUUCUGUGAACUGCUCCAUGAUGAUAUUCCGCUGAAACUAGGGUAUGUGUGCAGCUCGGAUUAAUAUAUUUCACAUGCUUAGCGUUUGUGUAGGCUACUUUGUGCAUGAUUCUCUGUUGUUUUACAUAAUAGAUACAGUGUAUACCUCCACUACACUCUUUUGAUACGCAUCAGUGGGUAAAAAAAGUGGGUAUUGGGCGUAAUACCUGCGUAUAGUCCCAACUACACCACUUCUGUUUUUCACACGGCCCCCACUACAAAUGAUCCAGAUGCCAACCCUUUAUUGGUGGCAGCAGUGGGAUAGUCUCUUGGGCAUUGUCUGUGUGCAGAAUCUCUUCUAAGAUUGCUAAAUAAUAAUAAAAACGAAAUAUUAUUACCAUUUUAGUCCAUGCUGUACUAUAAAGUGCUACCCCGCCCAUAUAAUAGGAUCAACGGACUCUCAGAGGAAAAAUACAGCCAUUAGUAUGAACUCAUUGAUGCUGCUGCCCCAACAGAGGUCAUCCAAGAGUACUUGGUAACCUGAUUACAAAUCAGACCAGUCAUGGUGGCUGUUCCUGUUCAGGCUCAAGAUCAACAGAGGUGACUAAUGGAGACUGUCUAGAGAGAAGCAAGGGUCUUCGGCCUGCCAGGAAGAGAAGGCUCCUGAGUCCUGAUAUCUUUCUCUCUCUCUUGUUUGGAGCCUGCCCAGAAACAGGGAAUUAUCAUUCAGUUUGACCAGCCAGACAUAUUCCCUGGUUCACAAGAACAAGGCCAUCUCUAGUCUUUGAAGUCACUAUGCAACUUAAAUAAAAGUUUCUUUGAUGUGCCGAAUAUGUCCCUAGUUUGCUGCCGUAGAGAGAUGGGACGUUACAGAGGUAAUAUGUAUUUGUGUUAUAAUUUUUUUUUUUUAUAUGUCAUGACAGGACACUGGAUAUAGAUAUAGAUAGACUUAGGGUAUAGACAUAGAUAGGCAUUGACAAUUUGGUGUGUUACAGUAUUUGUUCCUCUAUCUAGUUCCCUUCCCCCUUCUCUUUCAAUAUUGGUACAACACAAUGGUUGCUCACCCACAGCCCCAGAUUCCAAAAGGUAGUUUAGUUUACUGUAGCCCAGGGCCAGGCAACUAAUGUUAAAGUUUACCUUUGUCAAAAAUUAAAUGUGCUUUUGCAUGUCUUUACUGUACAUGUCCCACCUCACUAGUGAAUUGUUACUAAAUGUGAUCAUGGAUUGGAGAAAUAAAACAAGAUCCUAUAUAAUGGUUUAUCCUCCAUAUGUAGUAGGACUAACCAUAUGGGACUCUUCUAUACACAGCGAAACGCAGAAGCACUGAAGAGUAUCUGCAUAAUUAUCACCAGUGGAAUUAUGGGGUGUAAAAUGUAAAAGCAGUGUGCCAGUAAAGGGUCUCCCAAGACACAUACAUGGCUCCUUACUUACUCAUUACUUUCCACUGGGAUUCUCUGCCUCUAACCCUGUUACAGGGGCUGAGUCACUGGCUUACUGGGGCUCUCUCAUGCCGUCCCUGGGGGGGGUGCAUCACCUGAGUGGGUUGAUUCACUGUUGUGGUCAGCCUGUCUGGGUUGGCGCCCCCCCCCUUGGGUUGUGCCGUGGCGGAGAUCUUUGUGGGCUAUACUCGGCCUUGUCUCAGGAUGGUAAGUUGGUGGUUGAAGAUAUCCCUCUAGUGGUGUGGGGGCUGUGCUUUGGCAAAGUGGGUGGGGUUAUAUCCUUCCUGUUUGGCCCUGUCCGGGGGUGUCCUCGGAUGGGGCCACAGUGUCUCCUGACCCCUCCUGUCUCAGCCUCCAGUAUUUAUGCUGCAGUAGUUUAUGUGUCGGGGGGCUAGGGUCAGUUUGUUAUAUCUGGAGUAAUUCUCCUGUCCUAUUCGGUGUCCUGUGUGAAUCUAAGUGUGCGUUCUCUAAUUCUCUCCUUCUCUCUCUCGGAGGACCUGAGCCCUAGGACCAUGCCCCAGGACUACCUGACAUGAUGACUCCUUGCUGUCCCCAGUCCACCUGGCCAUGCUGCUGCUCCAGUUUCAACUGGCCUGGGCCCUAGGACCAUGUCCCAGGACUACCUAACAUGAUGACUCCUUGCUGUCCCCAGUCCACCUGGCCAUGCUGCUGCUCCAGUUUCAACUGUUCUGCCUUACUAUUAUUCGACCAUGCUGGUCAUUUAUGAACAUUUGAACAUCUUGGCCACGUUCUGUUAUAAUCUCCACCCGGCACAGCCAGAAGAGGACUGGCCACCCCACAUAUGCUCUCUCUAAUUCUCUCUUUCUUUCUCUCGGAGGACCUAAGCCCUAGGACCGUUCCCCAGGACUACCUGACAUGAUGACUCCUUGCUGUCCCCAGUCCACCUGACUGUGCUGCUGCUCCAGUUUCAACUGUUCUGCCUUAUUAUUAUUCUACCAUGCUGGUCAUUUAUGAACAUUUGAACAUCUUGGCCAUGUUCUGUUAUAAUCUCUACCCGGCACAGCCAGAAGAGGACUGGCCACCCCACAUAGCCUGGUUCCUCUCUAGGUUUCUUCCUAGGUUUUGGCCUUUCUAGGGAGUUUUUCCUAGCCACCGUGCUUUUACACCUGCAUUGCUUGCUGUUUGGGGUUUUAGGCUGGGUUUCUGUACAGCACUUUGAGAUAUCAGCUGAUGUACGAAGGGCUAUAUAAAUACAUUUGAUUUGAUUUGAUUUAACCCCUCUAAUAGACCAAAAUAUAGCUAGUGUUACAAAUGGCACCCUAUUCCCUAUUAUAUAGUGCGCUACUUUUGACCUGGGCCCAUAAUAGUAGUGCAUCACAUCGGGAAUAGGGUACCAUUUGAGGGCACAAAUUGCUGUAUGGUAUUGUCCUCGUCUUUACAGUGUCCACGUCGCUCUAGUUUCUCAUCACUAUAUGUACUGAACUGCUUCAAAUAUUCAGUUGUUGGACUAAUUGGAACACCUGUCUGCUAUGUCUUUCAAAUUAGGGGAACAUGGAAGGGACAUCUAACAGUAUUGAGAGAGUGCAGGUUCAAUUCUGAUCAGCCACAACCAUACAGUAACAAAGUCCCUUUGUCUAACCUAAUGGAUUUACUACAGAAUAAAAUAAACUCUUUCAUGACUCAAAGAUCAAAUCAAACUGUAUUUGUCACAUGCACCGAAUACAACAGGUGUAGAUCUUACAGUGAAAUGCUUACUUACAAGCCCUUAAAACUUCUUUGGGAUCAGUGUCCCGUCCAUGGCACGGUUGAGCUAAUGUAGGCUAAUGUGAUUAGCAUGAGGUAGUAAGUAACAACAAAUUCCCCCAGGACAUAGACAUAUCUGAUAUUGGCAGAAAGCUUAAAUUCUUGUUAAUCUAACUGCACUGUCCAAUUUAGAGUAGCUAUUACAGUGAAAUAAUACUGUGCUAUUGUUUGAGGAGAGUGCACAGUUUUGAACAUGAAAAGUUAUUAAUAAACAAAUUAGGCACAUUUGGGCAGUCUUGAUACAACAUUUUGAACAGAAAUGCAAUGGUUCAUUGGAUCAGUCUAAAAUGUUGCACAUACACUGCUGCCAUCUAGUGGUCAAAAUCUAUAUAGCAGCUGGGCUGAAAUAAUACACUAUGGCCUUUCUCUUGCAUUUCAAAGUUGAUGGGACCAAAAAAAUACAAAAUAAUGUUUUUUUUUCUUGUCUUUGUAUUAUCUUUUAUCAGAUAUAUCGUGUUAUAUUCUCCUACAUUCCAUUUCCACAAACUUCAAAGUGUUUCCUUUCAAAUGGUGCGAAGAAUAUAACCUUGCUUCAGGGCCUGAGUUACAGGCAGUUAGAUUUGGGUAUGUAAUUUUAGGCAAAAAUUGAAAAAAAGGUGGAUCCUUAACCAACAAUGCAGCUGAAAAAAAUGUAAUAGAUAAAUAUCAAAAAUAAACAACAACAAAAAUAUUAUAUAUCAAAUAUAUGAAUAAGAAAUAAAAGUCUUAACACUUGAAACUGAGGUAGAGUUGAGAGGUCAAAGGCCAGAUUUUACGUCACAAGGUUUUCACACCUAAUAACCAGUCCUCUGCCAGAAGACCACACUUGCCUCACAUGGCAACCAUGUAAAUCUCUCAGCAUGUGGCCCUGACCACCACUCAUAUGUUAAUGUAUGCCUCACUUUGAAACCCCAGACUGAAAUACCUUUAUUCACAGAAAUUCCUCAAGAGUUGAGGUAGAAAUGGAACAUUUCUCCAGCUGUUUUUUCUGGGGCAAGGUGAUAUCAUUCUCCAUACUGCUUCUCUCCCUGACCUGCCUUCUCCCUUUCCUCUUCCACCCUUCUCUCUUUCCCCUUCUCCUCUUUUUCUCUAGCUCUCCUUCAAUUAAUACUGAAGUUGUUCAUUAGUCACUGUGGUUUUUUAUAAUUUCCAUCUGAAUCUGUGAACCUUUAAGCCUUCACACAGCUGAAAGUCUAACAACAUCCCAAAAUAUAUGCGGUCAGCCAACAGCUUGAGGAGAAAGGAUAUGCAUAUCUUCAGCCAGUCCCUGCCCUGCCCCUUAACACUAGAUCUAGUACAUUAGACAGAGAAAAAUGAGGGCUGUGGAGUUUGCAGAGACUGUCUGAAAUACAUUCAUUCACUUUCCCUUUUUUGCUAAUGUAAACCUUUAAACGCCAUGCAUCACUGAAAUUUACAUUUAAAUUAAAUUGACUUGGGGCCAGAAGAUGAGUGUGAGUCCCCAGACACAUUCUGGUGGCAGUGCUGUGGUCUUUAUUUACUGAUCUGUGCUCUCAGUCUGUUUCCCAAAUGGCACCCUAUUCCCUAAAUAGCGGAGGAUGGGGUAAGUUGAGCUGUUUUUUUUUACAUUCAGCAUCACUACAUCAAGGGAAUAUAGUAUUCUUACUAGCAAAGAUACAGUAUCUACAUAUAUUUCAGGAUGUUGUGUAUCCCUGAAAAUUAUCAGAAUUCAUAUAAACAUAACAGUUUUGAAAACAUAGCUUUUCCCAAAAAAGGUUCAGCCACCUUGGGGUAAGUGGUGGACAGUGGGUGAUGGUGCUGGUAGGUCAAAGUUUAAUUAAUGGAAUGGGUGUGUGGUAUAUUGUAUAUCUUAAAUGUAUGCCAACGUUCAGAUAUAGAUAUUACUGUUCAAUAUCACUUACCCUUUCAUUUCUUGACUAGUUGUCUGCGACAGGGAUGUUGUUUCGAUGUGCCAAUUUGUAGGAAAGUUCUCUGAAUUUGAGGCUACUAAAUCCCAUGAAACUGGUCUGCAAGAUUCUUGAUAUGUUUAGCAAGCUCAGACUCCAUAUCAUCAGAUACAGUAAGACCUUGAUGUAGGAACUUAAUUUGAGCCAGUUUGCUACAGCAGGAAAAUAAUCUUGCAGCAACAGGAAAUGUGAUUUAUUAUGUGGAUUAUAGUUAAUGGACUUUUUUUUGUGGGGGUUGAUGCAUUUUUGUUCGGGCAAAUCAAGUCUGACAUUUUAAAGUGGAAAAUACAAACUUUAGAAGCCUUUUUAAACCUUUAAUACACUGCAAGUUUGCAUUUCCUGCCAUGCAGGAAAAAUUGCAGCCGCAAUAAAAUGAUAAAAUUAAGAUCCCUUAUCUGUACUCUAUCAUAGCCUCUCUGUUUGUUUUCUUUUUUUCAAUGUACCUCUUCAGUGUCAUUCAGUCUAUUUUUUUUCAUCUGUUAAUGCUGCUCCAAUGAACAGUACCCGACCCUGAACUUACAGUAGUCUCUCAAGAACCUCAAGGGGGGCUUGGCCCCUGCUGGUUUUACGUUUGUGUCACGUUCUGACCUUUAUUUUCCUUUGUUUUGUCUUUAUUUAGUAUGGUCAGGACAUGAGUUGGGGUGUGCAGUCUAUGUUUUGUGUUUCUAUGUUUAGGUUUUUGUUUCGGCCUAGUAUGGUUCUCAAUCAGAGGCAGAUGUCGUUAGUUGUCUCUGAUUGAGAAUCAUACUUAGGUAGCCUGGGUUUCACUGUUGGUUUGUGGGUGUUUGUUUCCGUGUCUGUGUCUGUCACCACACGGGACUGUUUCGGUUUGGUUUUCGUUCAUGUUCACAUUUAUUGUUUUGUAUUUCUUAGUAUUCAGUUUAUGUUUUAUAAUAAACUAUAUGGACACUUA